rnacentral:lncRNA from 1 species
UUUUUUUUUUUUUUUUUUUUUUUGUGGGAUAAAAAGGGGCUCAAUGAUUGAUAGUGGCAAAUGCACGUGCAAUGUAGACUAGAAGAAUAAAUGUAGAUAUUAGUACAAUAAUAUAUAAAAAUAUAACAAAUUUUUUCAAUUAUUAAAAUUUGUACCUAAAAAUUGCGUCAGAGUCUAUAUUUAUGAUUUUACAGGCCCUUAAUCCUCGCGUUUCUCCAAUUCCUGGAAAUUAUCAGAUUUGUUUCUGGAAAUUCCAUAUACACAUGUUAUGAUUUGUAAAAAGGUUCAAUUCAGACUCAUCUGGGCAAACAACUUUCCACCCUCAAACCUUUGCGCAUGCAAAAUACUCCCUUUGUCCUAAUCUUUUCUUUGUCGCUCUUCAAGAAUCUAACUUUUUUAAAAUAAUACUUCAACUGUUACAUUUGUGUUUCUUUUUCUAAUUUUAUCCCCAAUUUUUAAACUUUGAACUUGAAUGUAACCUGCAUAUUCAUAAAGGAAGAAGCAACAUUGGAAUACAGACUAAAAUUGACUCUAACUUUUAUAAUACGACGAAUAUUUUGAAGGCAAUGAAGCACAACUUAUUUGGUAAAACGUUUCACCUGUAAUCCUAAGUCUCGAGUUCGAGUCAUUAAGGUUAAUCCUUUUAAAAAGUAAAAGAGAAAAAAAUGACAAAUGUUUCGAAACAUUCUAAAAUAGAAUGUAUAAUUCUUUGAGAGUAAUGUUAUUUGCAUUCUCCUUAUGCUAUUUGUACUCCCACAACCCCAUUUUCAUUUUGAUGAGACCAUAUUACCCUUACUCUAAUUUCUGCUCCUAUCCUAUCUUGUGUUCACAUUAUGCUACUCUAUCACUUCUAUAGACAACUUUGGAGUAGCAAACAUCAACUCCACAUUCUUCUCUUUCAUAAAAAAUUUUAGACUCCACUUUUUUUAUCUUCCAUAAAAAAUUUUAGGGCUUUCAAACUAUGAAAGACAAUUCUCUAGAAAAGAUUGACGAAGCAUACUAGAAAAAUUCACUCCCUUUAUGAUGGCUAUAUGAGCUAUUCUUAAUAGACUUUUUGAAAUAUUAAUAUCCUAUUUAUACGACAUUGCAGUUGUACUUAAUUUUUUAUCGCUUUUGAAGUUUGGGAUUUAUUUAUUUAUUUUGGUCUUGAAAUUUGGAAUGUGUUCAUGUUAUAUUGCUAGAUUGAUCUCUGGCAUCAUAUAAUUUCGUGAAGUUUUGUUAAAAAAAAAUGCAUAAUACAUAUUAGUGACAAUUUUAAAUUAACCAUUUUAAUGUAUAAUGAAAUAAUUAAUUGAUUUUUAAAUGCAAGAGAAAAUCUGGUAAAAUUAGCUCCUGGAUGAGGAGAAGAAAUUGGGACAAAAAUAAUACAGUCUCAUCAAAAUAAAAAUGGAGCAACGAGAGUGCUAUUAAUAUAGAAAAGUACAAAUAACAUUACCCUUCUUUUAAUGGAACACAAAAAUACCUGUCAAUUUGACGGCUCCCGCAAGUUUGUCUUAAACGCGUAGUAUUUAUAAUCAAUGAUGAGUUAUGAAUUUCCUGAAUUAUCACCUUUCUCUCUGCAGCUGAAACAUGCAAAGCUAUGCACUAGUUUUUACAUUGAACAGAUACAAAAAGAACUCUGAACAUUGAUUCCCAUGAUUAACUCAUUUUCACCUAGUUUUGCGUAAAUUAAUUGCUAAGCCAUUCCUAGUCUAAUCAAGAACUUGGGAAAGAAAUGGACAACACCCCGUCAGUUCCAAGACCCCGAGGAUCAAUUCGGGGGCAACUUUAGUGAAAAAGACCCUCAUUCAUGAGGCUGAAAAUUCACGAAAGCCUACUGUGAUUUCAAAUGCUGUUUCAAUGACAGUAUUGCCAAUAUGAACAGAAAAUUAAAAUCACGUAAUUCAAGACCACCCCAACAGCUCUUGAAAGUACUAGUAAAAUUGCUUGAAGACAAUCGAUAGCUAUAUACACUCACAUUCGCUGGGGGACAGAGGGGAAAGGCCGAGACUCAGCACAUAAUAGUUUACAAAUGCCUUGGACAAGGGUCAACAGGAAGUAGAAAUUGCUUGAGAUCAUCCAGCAGUUACUCCCUGAAUUUCCCCUCAAGGCUGUUAGUGCAGAUAAGCACCUGAAAUUGGCAAAAUCAAGUUAGAACAAUAUGCUACUAGGAUGAUAUAUCAUUUCAAUCACGAAACCACUAUGCUAUGCUAUAUGUAUCCUUCUUUCUCUGGAAUUAGUACAAUGAAGAGCCGAGGCCCAAAACCAUCUAUAUCUUUUCCAUGUGCCAUUUUCAGAUGGGCGAAGAGGAAAACCACAAAUCUCCUUUCUGCACAAGCAACAUCUCAGGGAACCGGAACAAUACCAACAGAGACUAUC